rnacentral:rRNA from 1 species
UACAGGGGGGGCAAGCGUUGUUCGGAAUUACUGGGCGUAAAGGGUCUGUAGGUGGCCAACUAAGUCAGACGUGAAAUCCCUCAGCUUAACUGGGGAACUGCGUCUGAUACUGGAUGGCUCGAGUGUGGGAGAGGGAUGCGGAAUUCCAGGUGUAGCGGUGAAAUGCGUAGAUAUCUGGAGGAACACCGGUGGCGAAGGCGGCAUCCUGGACCAUUACUGACACUGAAAAGCGAAAGCCAGGGGAGCAAACGGG